rnacentral:rRNA from 1 species
AGCGGCGGACGGGUGAGUAAUGCCUAGGAAUCUGCCUGGUAGUGGGGGACAACGUUUCGAAAGGAACGCUAAUACCGCAUACGUCCUACGGGAGAAAGCAGGGGACCUUCGGGCCUUGCGCUAUCAGAUGAGCCUAGGUCGGAUUAGCUAGUUGGUGAGGUAAUGGCUCACCAAGGCGACGAUCCGUAACUGGUCUGAGAGGAUGAUCAGUCACACUGGAACUGAGACACGGUCCAGACUCCUACGGGAGGCAGCAGUGGGGAAUAUUGGACAAUGGGCGAAAGCCUGAUCCAGCCAUGCCGCGUGUGUGAAGAAGGUCUUCGGAUUGUAAAGCACUUUAAGUUGGGAGGAAGGGCAGUAACUUAAUACGUUGCUGUUUUGACGUUACCGACAGAAUAAACACCGGCUAACUCUGUGCCAACAGCCGCGGUAAUACAAAGGGUGCAAGCGUUAAUCGGAAUUACUGGGCGUAAAGCGCGCGUAUGUGGUUUUUUAAGUUGGAUCUGAAAUCCCC